rnacentral:pre_miRNA from 1 species
AAUAUUUGACGCCGUUGAUUUUUUUAAACAUGUUUGACCGUUCGUCUUAUUCAAAAAAAUUAAGUAAUUAUUAAUUCUUUUCCUAUCAUUUGAUUCAUUGUUAAAUAUACUUUUAUAUAUACAUAUAGUUUUAGAUAUUUCACAAAAGUUUUUGAAUAAGAUGAACGGUCAAACAUGUGCUAAAAAGUCAACGGCGUCAAAUAUU